rnacentral:lncRNA from 1 species
GCGCCGUUGACGAUAAUAAAUAUGGAUGGCUCGGGCUGCACGCCGCAGUGGGUACUGGAAUGUACCAUCAUAUGCAUUGCAUUAUAUUCAUGUAUUUGUAUCUAUACUGUUGUUUAGCUGCUCGGUUCCAUACAUUGCUGUAUAUUUGGAUUUUAGCUUACUUUGUGUAUUUACUGGGUUUUCUUAUCUUCGGACUGUAGUUACUUUAUUACUCACUAGGUCGGAGUACUCACUUUACUCCUUGCACCUUGUGUGCAGAUCCAGGGCAAUAUCAGGCAGUUGAUCAAUGGAUCCAGCAUUUUGGGGAAUAUCAAGGAAGUUGUACGGCGUUCGCAGCAUUGAUUUCUUCCCUCCUAUCCUAUCUUUUUUUUAUUUCCGCAUUAUUAGACUUUGGAUACACUAUGUAUUAGGAUGAUAUUCUGUACUCUAGAGGCUC